AAUGAAGUGAGAACAGGAAAUGGAAUGUUCUGUUAAUAUAUGGACAGGAAGAAACGAUAGAACAGUCUUGUGAAUAUAGGAUUGCAUUUUGGACUGCGCUUGAGAAUGGUUGGAUGAAGAAUCCACUACACCUUCAUUCAACAGAGGUA